UACAUAUUUAACUUACUAUUUUUUUUUAGAUGGCUGUACACCAGAUAUACUCAGGACAUAUUGAAACAUGAAUUACCAUUUCUACCACAUGGGAAAGUUUCAACAUCCUACGUUGAAAAUGGACUGGACGAUCCUGAUAAUAAUAAUAGUUUUAUGCAUAGUACGAGUAACGGAUAUUGAAUAUAAUUGAUAGUCAAUUAAUAUUAGUGUAACAAAAAAUGGCUGUACACCAGAUAUACUCAGGACAUAUUGAAACAUGAAUUACCAUUUCUACCACAUGGGAAAGUUUCAACAUCCUACGUUGAAAAUGGAGUGGACGAUCCUGAUAAUAAUAAUAGUUUUAUGCAUAAUGGCUGUACACCAGAUAUACUCAGGACAUAUUGAAACAUGAAUUACCAUUUCUACCACAUGGGAAAGUUUCAACAUCCUACGUUGAAAAUGGACUGGACGAUCCUGAUAAUAAUAAUAGUUUUAUGCAUAAUGGCUGUACACCAGAUAUACUCAGGACAUAUUGAAACAUGAAUUACCAUUUCUACCACAUGGGAAAGUUUCAACAUCCUACGUUGAAAAUGGACUGGACGAUCCUGAUAAUAAUAAUAGUUUUAUGCAUAAUGGCUGUACACCAGAUAUACUCAGGACAUAUUGAAACAUGAAUUACCAUUUCUACCACAUGGGAAAGUUUCAACAUCCUACGUUGAAAAUGGACUGGACGAUCCUGAUAAUAAUAAUAGUUUUAUGCAUAAUGGCUGUACACCAGAUAUACUCAGGACAUAUUGAAACAUGAAUUACCAUUUCUACCACAUGGGAAAGUUUCAACAUCCUACGUUGAAAAUGGACUGGACGAUCCUGAUAAUAAUAAUAGUUUUAUGCAUAAUGGCUGUACACCAGAUAUACUCAGGACAUAUUGAAACAUGAAUUACCAUUUCUACCACAUGGGAAAGUUUCAACA